rnacentral:rRNA from 1 species
GACGAACCGUGCGAACGUUAUUCGGAAUCACUGGGCUUAAAGCGCGUGUAAGCGGGCCGGCACGUCGGCUGCUGAAAUCCCCCGGCUCAACCGGGGAAGGGGCACCGAUACGACCGGCCUGGAGGGGGGGGUAGGGGGGGGACGGGAACUUCCGGUGGAGCGGUGAAAUGCGUUGAGAUCGGAAGGAACGCCCGCGGCGAAAGCGCGUCCCUGGACCCCACCUGACGCUGAGACGCGAAAGCCAGGGAGCGAACGGG